rnacentral:lncRNA from 1 species
CAAAACCAAGGCAGACUGUAUGGUCGUUUUCUUCACCAGAGUUGGGUACAGUUGAAGUGGAAGAGAAAGCGACUAGAGAAGCAGUGGAAGAGCUGUGUUCACAGAGGAGCCCAAAGCUGUGAAGCACUGGAUUUCAUUAGCCUGGCUGAAAAACAGUGGCAGUGUGCUACACACAUGGAGAAGGUUGAAUCCCUGGCCUCUCCUCCUUUUGACUACAGAAGUCUGAGAUUUCAACACGUUGUUUGCCACCUGCCAACUUUUGCAGUAGCAAAAAUCUGUGUGUUAGGCAAGUCUGC